ACAACAACAUUUGGACCGUAGGUCUACCGAGCAAUAUCACCCGCUCGGUGGAAGAUCUUCCUUUCGUCGUUUAAG
rnacentral:pre_miRNA from 1 species